CCUACGGGAGGCAGCAGUGAGGAAUAUUGGUCAAUGGGCGGAAGCCUGAACCAGCCAAGUAGCGUGCAGGAUGACGGCCCUACGGGUUGUAAACUGCUUUUAUACGGGAAUAACGCGCCUUACGUGUAGGGCUUUGCAUGUACCGUAUGAAUAAGGACCGGCUAAUUCCGUGCCAGCAGCCGCGGUAAUCCGGAAGGUCCGGGCGUUAUCCGGAUUUAUUGGGUUUAAAGGGCGCGUAGACCGCAUGUCAAGCGUGCUGUGAAAUGUCCGGGCUCAACCCGGGCCUUGCAGCGCGAACUGGCGUGCUUGAGUCCGGGGAAAGCAGGCGGAAUUCGUGGUGUAGCGGUGAAAUGCUUAGAUAUGACGAAGAACCCCGAUUGCGAAGGCAGGUUGCUGCAGCGGAACUGAUGCUGAUGCUCGAAGGCGCGGGUAUCGAACAGGAUUAGAUACCCCUGUAGUC
rnacentral:rRNA from 1 species